rnacentral:piRNA from 1 species
UAAAAGAGUAUAAAGAAAAUGAACGGCA